rnacentral:rRNA from 1 species
CGGCUCUCGCAUCGAUGAAGAACGUAGCGAAAUGCGAUACUUGGUGUGAAUUGCAGAAUCCCGUGAACCAUCGAGUCUUUGAACGCAAGUUGCGCCCGAAGCCAUUUGGCCGAGGGCACGUCUGCCUGGGCGUCACGCAUCUAUUCGCCCCCCUCCCCCAACAUC